rnacentral:lncRNA from 10 species
CAGAAUUAAAUUGACAGUGUAAAUGACAUGAUUUAUUACUGCCUAAAAUAUCUGAAUUCAAAUCCUGGCUUUGCCACUCACACAAUUUUUGAGUAAAUUGCUUAGCUUCUCUUUAUCUCUUUGUUAAUUUAAAACUAUUCUUUUCUCCAUUACUCAUCUGUAGAAUGGAGGUACGAAUAGUUUUCUCAGGGAGUUUUCAAAUGGCCAAAUGAUUUAAGGUAUGUGAAAUACAUAACACAGUGCUUUGCUUAGCACAAAAUAGUUGAACAAUAAAUUCUUCUUCCCCUUAUCUCCCUUCUGCCAAUGUUGUCUCUUCCCUUGAAGGAUGCGAGAGCAUGGAUGAUCUCACUACCUGAUUAUUGAUGGCCUGCUUUCCUGUAACCAUCUCUGAAUUUAAGGAUUAUAGAUAUAGAGGAGGUAUGUCACAAUGAGACUAGAAGGUUUUCUUUUUAGAGUUAAUAUAUUGUUAUAAAAAAUAGGCUUGGUUGUCCCUGCUUGAUAAUUCCCACAGCAUCCUCCUAGCUACAGAUAAAAGGACUUUCUACUUCAUAACAAGAAGAAGGUUGUUUGAUGUCAUUUGAAAAUUUUUAAAGAAGCCUAUGGAAGGAAGUCUACAAAUAAAAUAACAGUGGCUGACUCUCAGGAGUUUCAGAGUGAAACAAUACUUUAUUUCUGUUCACAGGAAACUUUACCAUUCAAAUAAAUUCACUUUUCAUACAGCAACUCCUCAAUUUCAGACCGAAUGUUGAAAACUGGCCGCACUAAAUCAGAAAGAAAACACUUUUGAAAUCAUCUUUGCAAAAGUACAAUUUUGACACAAAAAGAAGAGAAUCAAGAAGGUGAACAAAAUUAAAAUGGAAUUCAGUUCAAGGGAGACAAGUUCUCAGGUGGUUAGUUAUUUGUGAAACUUGCAAAGUACCAAUCAAAGGGGGAGACUAUACCCAUCAGCACAUAUUGUUCCAUGAUAAUGCUGAUUCACUCUUUCAAACAUUUAGAGUCAAGAAAUUAUAGGGGCCAAGGAUCAUAUUUUAUAGAAAAGGGAGGACACAGAAUUGAUCGUAGCAAGCAUAUUUAUUAGAAGUCUUUCUUCAUUCCUCUCUCUUCUUUCAAAUCCUCUUUCUUCUUCAUGGCCUCUUUCCACACCCCACUGCAUCUACAAAGCAUUCCCUGACCACUAGGCCUAACCAUGUUUCCUUACUCUUUGAAAAUCUGUGAAGACAGAUUCUCUGCUCUUUUUAGGGCUGUUUCAUGUAGUAAAGUAUUGGCUCUGGAUGUCAGACUCCCUGGAUUGAAUCCCCAGCACUUGCUAAUUGUAAAAAAUCUUAGGUGACAUUAUUUAAAUUGUUUUUUUUUUUAGAUUCCUAUUAUUAUUAUUAUUGUUAUUAUACUUUAAGUUUUAGGGUACAUGUGCACAACCUGCAGGUUUGUUACAUAUGUAUACAUGUGCCAUGUUGGUGUGCUACACCCAUUAACUCGUCGUUUAGCAUUAGGUAUAUCUCCUAAUGCUAUCCCUCGCGCCUCCC